rnacentral:rRNA from 1 species
GGGGGGGGGGGGGGGGGGGGGGGGGGCGGGGGGGGGGAGCGGUGGAGGGGGGGGUUGCUCUUCGGGGUGAGUUGGGAGCGGGUGGGUAGCGCGUAGGUAACCUGCCUGGUAGCGGGGGGUAACUAUUGGAAGCGAUAGCUAAUCCCGCAUGACAGCAGUUAUUGCAUGGUAAGUGUUUGAAAGGGGCCACUGCUCCACUACCAGCUAGACCUGCGUUGUAUUAGCUAGUUGGUGAGGUAACGGCUCACCACGGCGACGAUACAUAGCAGACCUGAGAGGGUGAUCGGCCACACUGGGACUGAGACACGGCCCAGACUCCUACGGGAGGCAGCAGUAGGGAAUCUUCGGCAAUGGACGGAAGUCUGACCGAGCAACGCCGCGUGAGUGAAGAAGGUUUUCGGAUCGUAAAGCUCUGUUGUAAGAGAAGAACGAGUGUGAGAGUGGAAAGUUCACACUGUGACGGUAUCUUACCAGAAAGAGACGGCUAACUACGUG